AAACAGUGUCCAGGGGACUAGUUCAAAUAUAAUUUAAGAAAAAAAAUAUUUAACAUCUGUAUUAUAUGAUUUAUUGUAGGAGAUCUUUGGAAAGAUCAAACAUCCUCUUCCUUCCCCAGGACGGUAUUUUGGGAGAAGCCCCCCUUGGAAUGUCAUUCUCUCUUCCUCGCCUUCCCAUUCCCCAAGCAAAAAUCAUAUGGGGCGGGCUUCC
rnacentral:lncRNA from 1 species